AUUUUUGCGUUGAAAUAGUAAGUACAAAUACAAAAACCUUUAACAGAGAGCUUCGGUAGCUGAGAAGAAGCAAGGCGGCAUGUUUGGAAAAUGGCUAUUGAGCAAUUCACCCCGAGCAAAAUUGUGAGACGGUGACGGUCGCAACCGUUAGCUUGCUAGAGUAUGAUUGUACUCGAAGAGGAGUUACAUGUAAGUGUAACUUGAACAUGAGGUGGUAACACGCAAAAAGGCGUCCUCAAG
rnacentral:ncRNA from 1 species